CAAUAGGUCUAGUAUAUUCGGUGUAUGGAAGGACUGUAAGGUGUACAUGUCCAACUGGCAGGUGUCAUCUGACCUUGACCUCAUUUUCAUGGUUCAGUGGUUAUAGUUAAAUUUUUGUGUUUUGGUCUAUUUUUCUCAUACUACAUGCAAUAGGUCUACUAUAUUUGUUGUAUGGAAUGAUUGUAAGGUGUACAUGUCUAGCGGGAAGAUGUCAUGUGACCUUGACCUCAUUUUCAUGGUUCAGUGGUCAAAGUUAAGUUUUUGAGUUUUGGUCUUUUUAUCUAAUACUAUAUGCCAUAGGUCAACUAUAUUUGGUGUAUGGAAAUAUUUUAUGAUCUUUAUGUCAGUUGCGCAGGUUUUAUUUGACCGUGACCUCAUUUUCACGGUUCAUUGCACAGUGUUAAGUUUUUGUGUUUUGGCCUAUUUUUCUUAAACUAUAAGUAAUGGUUCAACUAUAUAUGUUGUAUAGAAGCAUUGUUAGCUGUACAUGUCUGCCUGCCUUGGUUCAUCUGACCUUGACCUCAUUUUCAAGGUUCAUUGGUCUUUGUUUAGUUAUGUUGGUUAAUGUUAAGUUUAUGU
rnacentral:lncRNA from 1 species